rnacentral:lncRNA from 1 species
GGAUACAUCAUAAGCUUUAGGGUUGGUAAUUAAUAUGCUGGCAUUGUCAAUGAGAAUCAAGCUAAAUUCCUUUUGGAAAAUAAGAUAUUCUGUGAACUCUAGUUUGCACCAGUCCAAUGUGGUGGACUGGAGACUGGUUAGUCAGAUGGGUGAAACAAUUCCUUUAUCCCCAUUCUUCACUUGUGUUGUGAAAAUGGGGAAGGCAAUGGAUUGAGAUAUAAUUGCAAGAAUCCUUUCUGUAACCUUUUAGUGAGCUUUGAAGUUGCUUGUGAGGUUGGAUCUUUACUGUUUUUGGAUAUGGCUGAAAAUGGACUGAAAGGUUUCAAGAUCCAUAUAUACUAACUCAACAUUUUGGGCCAGACCUAACUCACCUCAAAAGCUAGCUCAAGAGGGAAGAGUGCCUAUGGCCCAUAUAAGGGGCACAUUGCCCCUUUCCACAACCGAUGUGGGAUUCAACACACUCUCUCAUGCCCAGAAUUUUUACUGGUGCGUGACACAUUUGUGGAAAGUCCAACAUCAGAUGGAAGGCUCUGAUACCAUGUUAAAUUUGGGAUAGACCUAACUCACCCAGGAGUGCCUAUGGCGUAUAUAAGGGGCACAUUACCCCGUUCUACAACCGAUGUGGGAUUCAACACACCCCUUCACGCCCAGAAUUUUAUUAGUGCGUGACACAUUUAUAGGAGGCCCAACAUCGGAUGUGGAGGCUUUGAUACCAUGUUAAAUUUGGGCCAGGUCUAACUCACAUCAAAAGCUAGCUCAAGAGGGAGGAGUGCUUAUGGCCCAUAUAAAGGGCACGUUGCCCCUUAUGUGAGAUUCAACAGUUUGAAAACAUAAAAGAUUUAAGAAUUCAGACUUUACCUUUUGAUAUUCAGUGUUGGAUACUUAGCCUUUAAUGAAGGGAAACCGGAUUAACCAUCCAAACAUUAUUCAUUGAUAUUAGGAUAACAUGACUGCACUAUAUAGUUGUCUUAGUUCAUGCCAUUAAACUGAUCUCACAUAUUCAAUAUCUGAAGAUAUAAUCUGUAAUUAUGGAAUUCUAAUGCACACCACUGCAGCAAAGAUCAGAAGUAAAAUAUUUUAGGAAACGCAAC